AAAGAAGACAAUUUAGGUAACAGAAACAAACUUUAACACUUCAUGAAACGGGAAGUCUCUGUUCCCAAGCGUCCACAGAACUGUAAAAUGUGGCGGAAGGCAGGACACUUUUAUAAGUUAAAGAAUAAGGAACAUGGAAGAGAAAACAGAAAAUGAGUAAGGAAUAGGAAGUAAGUAGAGAGCCCAGAGUCACCUUGGCGUUUGGGAGUUGGCUGCCUGGAUAGACUGCGUUUCUGGUCAAGAGGAACAUCUACAGGGACACAAAAGUGAUCUACAUCUUGGUUUACUGAUGUGUCACCCGGGCAGGAGUGGCUGGGCUGUAUCUUGGGCCUGGAAAUUAAUUUCAACACCCAUCAUGGCUGAAAAUAACUCAUGAUGUUGAACUGACCUGACCUGGGCUUGACUGGAGUUCAGAUGGAUGAAAACUUUGCCUCUCUGUGGGGGAUGAUGGGUUAGGGAGAAACUGAUGUGCCCAAUUUCCUUUUUUUUUUUUUUUUUUUUUAAGUUUUCUGCCUCAGUGCCUUGUAGUAAAAAGAAAGGACUUGAUCAUCAAGAUGAUUUUGGAUAUCAUUUCGUGGUCUCCUUUUGCCUCUCACAGGACUCUUCACCAACAAAGUAGACAUGCGGUCACUGGCUAAGCUGAACUCUGUGACUGGGAAGCAAAAUUAUCCACAUUGCACUCAGCUGCUGCUCCUGACGGCACAGCUUCUGACAGCCUUGGCCCCAGAGACAUCCCUGCCCCUUUCCCCAUGGAAACUACCCCAAGGUAAUGACCCCAAGUUGUGGCGGUGAGAACAUUUAAAGCCUACUCUCCUCGCAACUUUCAAGGAUACCAUAGAGUAUUGUUGACUAUAGUCGCCAGGCUGUA